AGAGUUUGAUCCUGGCUCAGGAUGAACGCUAGCGGCAGGCCUAACACAUGCAAGUCGAGGGGCAGCACGGUGUAGCAAUACACUGGUGGCGACCGGCGCACGGGUGCGUAACGCGUAUGCAACCUACCCAUAACAGGGGGAUAACACUGAGAAAUUGGUACUAAUACCCCAUAACAUCAGGACCGGCAUCGGUUCUGGUUGAAAACUCCGGUGGUUAUGGAUGGGCAUGCGUUGUAUUAGCUGGUUGGUGAGGUAACGGCUCACCAAGGCAACGAUACAUAGGGGGACUGAGAGGUUAACCCCCCACAUUGGUACUGAGACACGGACCAAACUCCUACGGGAGGCAGCAGUGAGGAAUAUUGGUCAAUGGACGCAAGUCUGAACCAGCCAUGCCGCGUGCAGGAUGACGGCUCUAUGAGUUGUAAACUGCUUUUGUACGAGGGUAAACGCAGAUACGUGUAUCUGUCUGAAAGUAUCGUACGAAUAAGGAUCGGCUAACUCCGUGCCAGCAGCCGCGGUAAUACGGAGGAUUCAAGCGUUAUCCGGAUUUAUUGGGUUUAAAGGGUGCGUAGGCGGUUUGAUAAGUUAGAGGUGAAAUUUCGGGGCUCAACCCUGAACGUGCCUCUAAUACUGUUGAGCUAGAGAGUAGUUGCGGUAGGCGGAAUGUAUGGUGUAGCGGUGAAAUGCUUAGAGAUCAUACAGAACACCGAUUGCGAAGGCAGCUUACCAAACUAUAUCUGACGUUGAGGCACGAAAGCGUGGGGAGCAAACAGGAUUAGAUACCCUGGUAGUCCACGCAGUAAACGAUGAUAACUCGUUGUCGGCGAUACACAGUCGGUGACUAAGCGAAAGCGAUAAGUUAUCCACCUGGGGAGUACGUUCGCAAGAAUGAAACUCAAAGGAAUUGACGGGGGCCCGCACAAGCGGAGGAACAUGUG
rnacentral:rRNA from 1 species